rnacentral:lncRNA from 1 species
CAUGGUGGCCCCCCUCCAGCUCUCCUUCGGGCUCCGGGAGUCUUCCGGGGAAAUAUAAUUUUGGUGAAUUUUCAGGAAUUUUUCGGGAAAGUUGAUUUCUGCACAGAAAUAGACACCAAGGGUAAUUCUGCUGAAAAUAGCGUUAGUCCAUGUUAGUUUGAUCCAAAUCAUGCAAAUUAGAGGAAAAACAAUAAGGAAAGUGUUAGGAAAAGUAGAUACGUUUUGGACGUAUCAGGAUCCAAUCCACAUGCCCUUUCCACCAUGCCGUUAUAUGAGACUAACUAUGGUGCAACCCAAAGCUAAUGAAGCACUUCUUCAGAUCAAGCGAGAUAUGCCGAGGGCAACUCGAGCGUCCUAGGAUUGCCAAAAGUUUGUAAAAAUCACACCAUGCCGUCGGAAACAAAACAAACACAACUUAUUGGGAAACAACUUAAGGUAAACUGAAUAUUAGAGAACUUUCUAAUAUACUUGCACAAGCUCAUUGAAUACCCGCACUCAACGGUGCUCUUGAUCAAAUCGUAUCUACGCAUAGCAUGCUCUGAUACCACUACUGGUGUGUUGUACUAGGAAUUUAAUAAUUUUGCCUUACGCAACCGCCGAGGAUCACUAUGGAGAUAACGAGAACGAAGCAUGCUCAUACAUGCUAUGAUCUAGUACUUCAACUCAUCAACAUCGGAAGAACGAUGUAGUCGAAGAAGAGUUCUGAUAUAUCGUAGAUCCUCACAACUAGGCCUAGUUGCAAGGAUGUUGCUUAGUUCCCUCGCUAAGGAUCACACGUGUAAUCCCUCUUAUGGUGUGCACGCAUACGCUCGUGUCAACCCGUCAGCGCUCCGCCGUCCAGGACUCGGCACCGACGAAGAGAGACAGGCUUUUGGCGUUGCUAAAGUGGUAGCACUAAUCAACUGUGAUUAGAGCUAUAUGAAUCUGGAAAUCCUCAACACAUGAGAGAGCAACUAGCAAUUAGAGGCUAGGUAUAAUCGGGAGAGGACACCUCAAAACCCAAUUAGAC